rnacentral:rRNA from 1 species
UAAGGAAUAUUGGUCAAUGGACGAAAGUCUGAACCAGCCAUGCCGCGUGGAGGAUGAAAGGUCCUCUGGAUUGUAAACUUCUUUUAUCUGGGACGAAAAAACGGUCUUUCUAGAUCGUCUGACGGUACCAGAUGAAUAAGCACCGGCUAACUCCGUGCCAGCAGCCGCGGUAAUACGGAGGGUGCAAGCGUUAUCCGGAUUCACUGGGUUUAAAGGGUGCGUAGGUGGGUUGGUAAGUCAGUGGUGAAAUCUUCGAGCUUAACUCGGAAACUGCCAUUGAUACUAUCAGUCUUGAAUAUUGUGGAGGUUAGCGGAAUAUGUCAUGUAGCGGUGAAAUGCUUAGAUAUGACAUAGAACACCAAUUGCGAAGGCAGCUGGCUACACAUAUAUUGACACUGAGGCACGAAAAGCGUGGGGAUCAAACAGGAUUAGAUACCCUGGUAGUCCACGCCCUAAACUAUGGAUACUCGACAUACGCGAUACACUGCGUGUGUCUGAGCGAAAGCAUUAAAGUAUCCCCACCUGGGAAGUACGAUCGCAAGAUUGAAACUCAAAGGAAUUGACGGGGUCAUAGCUGUUUCCU